rnacentral:RNase_P_RNA from 1 species
UCAGCAGUUCGUUCUGUCGCUCCGGACAAAAGUUAACCGUGGAACACAUUCGUCCGGGGAGGAAAGUCGGGACAACACAGAGCACCAUGCUUCCUAACAGGAAGGGACCCGGGCAACCGGGUCACAGCUAGUGCCACAGAAAACAACCACCGUACGGGCGACCCGUCGGGUUGCCCUUACCGGAAAGGGUGAAAACGUGGUGUAAGAGACCACGAUCCCGGAUGGUGACCUCCGGGAUGGGUAAACCUCAUGGGUUGAAAGACCAUGUACAUCCCGCUGACGCAAGUCACCUGGCUGCUCGCCAGGGCCGCAAGGCGCCGGGAGGGGUAGGUCGCGAAAACCGUUCGGUGACGGCCGGUUCAGAUAAAUGACAGAAUCUCCUGUAAAGGGGAACAGAAUCCUGCUUACAGAACUGCUGUUUUU